GAUGAACGCUGGCGGCGUGCUUAACACAUGCAAGUCGAACGGAAAGGCCCAAGCUUGCUUGGGUACUCGAUUGGCGAACGGGUGCGUAACACGUGGGUGAUCUGCCCUGCACUUCGGUAUAAGCCUGCGAAACUGGGUCUACUACCGUAUCGGACCACAUUUUGGAUGGUGUGGUGGAAAGCUUUUCGGGGUGGGAUGAGCUCGCGGCCUAUCAGCUUGUUGGUGGGGUAAUGGCGUACCAAGGCGUAGACGGGUAGCCGGCCUGAGAGGGUGUACGGCCAGACUGGGACUGAGAUACGGGCCAGAGUGCGACGGGAGGGAGAAGGGGGGAAUAUUGGACAAUGGGAGAAAGCGUGAGGCAGCGAGGCCGCGUGGGGGAAGAGGGCCUUUGGGUGGUAAGAACAUUUCGCGAGGGACAAAGCGUUUUUGUGACGGUACCUGGAGAAGAAGCACCGGCUAACUACGUG
rnacentral:rRNA from 1 species